rnacentral:lncRNA from 1 species
UCAGAUGAGAUGAGUGUGGAUGAGUAUACAGACAGAUUCUUGGAGCUGUUGCCGUUUGCUGGGCAGAAUCUGGACACAGAUCAGAAGAAGUCAAGGAGGUAUAUCAUGAGGCUCCAUUCCAGGUAUUCCUCCUUGAUUCAGUCAGCAGAGAGGGAGAGUUUCCAUGCCAUAGUGGAUAUGGCUCGGAGGAUGGAGGCUAGUGCAAUCAUCGAGGGA